GGCCAGUUAGCUCAGUUGGUUAGAGUGUGAUGCUGAUAACACCAAGGUCACAGGUUCAUUCCCUGUACUUGCCA